ACAAGUCCUGACUGAUGGAAGAAAGUCCCAUCUAUGCCUGGCAUUCUGGAAGGGUCUAAGAGAGUGGGCUGCAAAGAGGCCAGGCUGCAGAGGGAUGGAAGGACAUGAGUGUGACAGCACAAGAGGAGACACAAGAGGUAGAGAAUAAAGUAUCUUAAAGUCAUCAGUAUAUACAAUGGAAAAGUCCAGUGGCCCCACUCCUGGAUCCUACUAUAAUCCUUCAUGACAGACUCCAAGGAAAGUUCUAAAAGUAGGAUUCACUCCCACAGUUAGAAGUUGUGAGUGCAGUGGAAUGCAGGAUUGAGCUUACCUGUGAACACGAAC
rnacentral:lncRNA from 1 species